rnacentral:rRNA from 1 species
UUGCACAGGUGCUGCAUGGCUGUCGUCAGCUCGUGUCGUGAGAUGUUCGGUUAAGUCCGCUAACGAGCGCAACCCUCGCUGUGUGUUAUAUGUGUCACACGGGACUGCCGGUCUUAAGCCGGAGGAAGGUGGGGAUGAUGUCAAGUCAGCAUGGCCUUUAUAUCCUGGGCUACACACACGCUACAAUGGCCAACACAAUAGGUUGCUAAGCCGCGAGGUGGCGCCAAUCCAUAAAGUUGGUCUCAGUUCAGAUUGUAGGCUGCAACCCGCCUGCAUGAAGAUGGAGUUGCUAGUAACCGCAGGUCAGCUAUACUGCGGUGAAUACGUUCCCGGGGCUU